rnacentral:rRNA from 1 species
GACGAACGCUGGCGGCGUGCUUAACACAUGCAAGUCGAACGGAAAGGCCCUGCUUUUGUGGGGUGCUCGAGUGGCGAACGGGUGAGUAACACGUGAGUAACCUGCCCUUGACUUUGGGAUAACUUCAGGAAACUGGGGCUAAUAUCGGAUAUGAGCUCCUGCUGCAUGGGGGUGGUUGGAAAGAUUCGGCGGUUGGGGAUGGACUCGCGGCUUAUCAGCUUGUUGGUGGGGUAGUGGCUUACCAAGGCUUUGACGGGUAGCCGGCCUGAGAGGGUGAACGGGCACAUUGGGACUGAGAUACGGACCAGACUGGUACGGGAGGCAGCAGUGGGGAAUCUUGCACAAUGGGCGGAAGCCUGAUGCAGAAACGCCGCGUGCGGGAUGACGGCCUUCGGGUUGUAAACAGCUUUCGCCUGUGACGAAGCGUGAGUGACGGUAAUGGGUAAAGAAGCACCGGCUAACUACGUG